GGCAUUCGCAGUGCGCGCGGCGAAUAGAAAAGGCGGUUAUUUGUAGUACCGUAAACGUAGUGUACGAAAUUUUCACUCGUGCGAUAAAAUAAAUUAAUUUCUUCACUUUGUGAUUUCUCAUAUUUUCUUUCUAAAUUAAGAUGACUAACUUUUAUUCUUCCAUGCGAUGCAUUUCACCCAACGCGAGGGUUCUAACUCCCAAACCUCAGGUACAGCAGACCUUAGAUCUUAGGCAAACGCAAAGUAAGGCAAGAAAUAGCAUUACAUGGUUUUUCAUCAACACUUCUUUACUAGCAAUCGUGAUUUACGACAUACUAUAUGGUGGAGUGGCUUAUAAACCAUUCUGUUGGAUAGAGUGGUUUUUAGCAUCGAUUUUGGCUCUAAAUGCUCUGUAUCACAUUAUAAGUUAUGCAAUAGCUACAUUAAGCAUUCAGCCAGUCAUAUUGAGCCCACGACAAAGAAAGCUUUUGGGAGUAACAGAAAAUGAUCCUUUAUUCAAAAGUGAAGCACCUCCUCCACCAACUGUGGCUGAGCCAAGCUCACCUCAACACUUUUCUACCAUGAAUCUUAGUUGGCGAUCGAAUACUCUUGGCUCCCCUGGCUUAAAUGAUUCUAAGGAUUACACAUUGUCAAGUCCAUUCUAUAAGUAUCACAGUCCAUCGUCGCCACACAAGGUGGCUGUAAGCCCGAAUAGUUCGUUGAAUAAAUCUUUGAAUAGUUCUUUGAAUGGAAAUCUAACAGGGGAAGGUCUUAUAUAUGAUGAAGUGCAACUCCAGAGUUAUUUGAAGGAGUUGGAACAUCAGGAGCGAAAAUCUACCUCCUUGACAAACGUUGAUCAACCAUCAAAUUUAUUGAGCUCAUUUUGGUCACAUCCGGCGACUCGAAGUCCGGGUGAAGUUUCUCCCAUGUUAAGACGAUGCGUGUAUCAAUUGGCUCCAACAAUCGAUAAAUCUAAAUCUACGAGUCCAGGGGCUGAAGAAGGUAGUUCUCCCCGAGGUAUUUUUGGGGCUCCAGAUAUUUGGCGAAAGUAUAGAGUAGAUCCAAAUAAAGUUAAUGAGUGGACUGCCAAUCUGCGCAUGUGGAUCAGUAAGACUGUUGUGGAACGUGUAGCGUUGGAAAUUGAAAAUGUUCGUGUGGCACUGUUGAGGCAUGGUUUAAGCGAUGCACAACCUGGUCAAGUUGGAUUAGAUAGACUUAGGAAGUUGGCACAAUCUCCGACUUUGAUCCCAGGAGUUCCUACGCUACCUACCUUAGUCCCAUUUUUGGAACUAUCCAAUAACCAGGACUAUUUAGUGAAAAGAAUACAGGUUUUAGCAAAAGGUGGAUCUAUGAGUGAUUUCAAAUGGAAUGGCGGUAGCUCUUACAAUGGCAAAGAAUGGGAUAAUUCGUUACCUACAGAUACAGCAAUAGUGAUGCACUUAGUUUCUUCUUAUAUGGAUACUCAAUUGGAAGCUCCACUAGAUCAACCAGAUGCUCGAGCUUUUACCUCUAGGUAUACAGCUAGAGCUGGUAAAGACUUGCCACGUAACAAAGGUCCCAUUAUAGUCUGUCAGUCGAUUAAUCCACCGCAUUAUAGUUUGGCUUUGUCAGGAGAAACAGCACCGAUUGAAUAUGAAGAAAUACCACGGGGUCGAAACAACUUGUUCCAUACUCUACUAUUGUUCCUGUACAUAGUGAAAACACGAGAUCAUGGGAUGCUUGGUCGGGUCAAUCUAGGAAUGUCUGGUGUCAAUGUAUUGUGGGUUAUAGACGGUUGAAGAUGAGACUAGUCAUAUAAGCCCAAGUGUCUGACGCAUUUCUACUGUAUUGUCUUAAUUUUUCAUGGAAAAAGUCGAUUGCGAACGUGCAAUUCGGGAUCGGUCAUCGGAGCAUCUCGUACGUAGAUCCUUCUUUUCCGAAGGAACGGCAGUAUGGUCGCAGCAGCCGAAGCGACAUGGUCAUCGGGAGCCACAUCGACGGUAGCGCCUCCAUCCUUGGAGAAGAGAAGGAAGGAGCUAGAGAGGAGAAAGAGGGAGAGACAGAUACAUUGGGGCUUUCAAUCAGUCAUCACGGUGUCUAGUUCGCCGCAGUACUUAUUCAACUUCCAACCACAAAGGGCAGAAGUUACAUUGCAUCGCACAAUUCGUUUACAGGUACUCGGAGAUGCCGCCGCCGUAGCUGCUGUUUGCCCGCAGCAAAUUGGUCGCAGUUCUUCCAACGUCAUUGCCCGGACUCCCCCUGUUCACCAGGGGGAGUCCACCGUCCCCUGGGACAGCGCGGCCUCCCACCGCC